AUGGUGAACCUGCUGCUCAACAAAGGUGCCAGCCCCAGCACGUGUGACAAGAAGGACCGGCAGCCCCUGCACUGGGCGGCCUUCCUGGGUAGGUGCUCCCUGCUGCUUUCACCUCCCGCCCCUCCUCUCCUGCUCUCCCACUCCCUCUCUCCAUCUCUCCCAUCCUUUCCUCCACUUCUCCCACUCCUCCUCCCCAUCUCUCCCUUUUCUCCACCUCUUGCAUCUCUUCUCGCCGUUCCCCCCCCCAUUCCUUCUCUCCAUCUUUCCCUUCUCUCCAUCUCUCCCUUCUCUCCAUCUCCUUCAUUUCCUCUCUCCAUCUCUCCCAUCCCUCCUCCCCAUCUCUCCUGUUCCUCCUUUCCACCUCUCCAUCCCUUCUCUCCCUUUAUUCCCAGUCCCACAAGGAUUCCCCUCCCUGUGUUUUCUGUCUGUCCUGGUCCCCAACUCCCCGGUGUCCCCAUCUCUCCCCGUUUUUCCCCAUCUCCCCCUGGUGUCCUUCAACUCCCCAUUUUUCCCCAUCUCCCCAGUGUUUCCCAACUCCCUGAUGUCCCCAUCUCCCCAUUUGUCCCCAUCUCCCCAGCAUCCUUCAUCUCUCCUGUGUUUCCAUCUCCUCAGUGUCCCCCUUCUCCCCAGUAUCCCCAUUUUUCCCCAUCUCCACUGUUUUUCCCCAUCUCUCCCCAGUGUUCCCAGUGUCUCCAUCUCCCCAUUUUUCCCCAUCUCCCCACCAUUUUCCCCAUCUCUCCCCGUUUUUCCCCAUCUCUCCCCAUUUCCCCCCAUCUCUCAGUUUAUUCUCCAUCUAUCCUUGGUGUCCCCAGCAUGGUGGUGUGGUCACGGCGUCUCCCAUCUCCCCAGUAUCCCCGUUUCUCCCCGUUUUUCCCCAUCUCCCCCUGUUUUUCCCCAUUUUUCCCCAUCUCUCCCCAUUUCUCCCCAUCUCCCUGGUGUCCCCGUUUUCCCCCAUCUCCCCGGUGUUCCGGUUUUCCCCCAUCUCCCCGGUAUCCCCGUUUUCCCUCAUCUCCCCCAUCUCCCCGGUAUCCCCGUUUUCCCCCAUCUCCCCGGUGUUCCCGUUUUCCCCCAUCUCCCCNNNNNNNNNNGGCUUGGGUGAUUUUAGGU
rnacentral:lncRNA from 1 species